GACGAACGCUGGCGGCGUGCUUAACACAUGCAAGUCGAACGGUGAAGCGCUUGCCUUUUUGGUGGGUGUGGAUGAGUGGCGAACGGGUGAGUAACACGUUAGUAACCUGCCCUCUUCUUCUGGAUAACCUCAUGAAAGUGGGGCUAAUACGGGGUAUUCCGGGUCUGUCGCAUGGCGGGUUUGGGAAAGAUUGCGCCUUUGGGUGUUUUCGGUGGGGGAUGGGCUCGCGGCCUAUCAGCUUGUUGGUGGGGUGAUGGCCUACCAAGGCGGUGACGGGUAGCCGGCCUGAGAGGGUGGACGGCCACACUGGGACUGAGACACGGCCCAGACUCCUGCGGGAGGCAGCAGGGGGGAAUAGUGCACAAUGGGCGCAAGCCUGAUGCAGCGACGCCGCGUGAGGGAUGGAGGCCUUCGGGUUGUGAACCUCUUUCGCCAGUGAAGCAGGCCUGCGCCUGUGUGGGUGGGUUGACGGUAGCUGGAUAAGAAGCGCCGGCUAACUACGUG
rnacentral:rRNA from 1 species